UUACGGCCACAUCACGUUGAAACACCAGUUCCCGUUCGAUCACCGAAGUUAAGCAAUGUCGAGUCUGGUUAGUAACUAAAUGGGUGACCAUUUGGGAAUACCAGGUGCUGCAAGC